UUUUAUGGAGAGUUUGAUCCUGGCUCAGGAUGAACGCUGGCGGCGUGCCUAAUACAUGCAAGUCGAGCGAACAGACGAGGAGCUUGCUCCUCUGACGUUAGCGGCGGACGGGUGAGUAACACGUGGAUAACCUACCUAUAAGACUGGGAUAACUUCGRGAAACCGGAGCUAAUACCGGAUAAUAUAUUGAACCGCAUGGUUCAAUAGUGAAAGACGGUUUUGCUGUMACUUA
rnacentral:rRNA from 1 species